rnacentral:rRNA from 1 species
GACGAACGCUGGCGGCGCGCUUCAUACAUGCAAGUCGAACGAGAAGCUCGGAGCUUGCUCCGGGUGGAAAGUGGCGAACGGGUGAGGAACACGUGAGGAACCUGCCCCAGAGACCGGGAUAACACCGGGAAACCGGUGCUAAUACCGGAUGCCCUCAUCGGAUCGCAUGGUCCGAUGAGGAAAUGAAUUCCGCUCUGGGAUGGCCUCGCGGCCUAUCAGCUUGUUGGUGGGGUAACGGCCCACCAAGGCUUCGACGGGUAGCUGGUCUGAGAGGAUGUCCAGCCACACUGGGACUGAGACACGGCCCAGACUCCUACGGGAGGCUG